rnacentral:rRNA from 1 species
CGACGGGUGAGUAACACGUGAGCAACCUGCCUUUCAGUGGGGGACAACAGUUGGAAACGACUGCUAAUACCGCAUAACGUGCCGGAAGGGCAUCCUUUUGGUACCAAAGAUUUAUCGCUGAAAGAUGGGCUCGCGUCUGAUUAGAUAGUUGGUGAGGUAACGGCCCACCAAGUCGACGAUCAGUAGCCGGACUGAGAGGUUGAUCGGCCACAUUGGGACUGAGACACGGCCCAGACUCCUACGGGAGGCAGCAG